UACGAAGGGGCUAGCGUUGCUCGGAAUCACUGGGCGUAAAGGGUGCGUAGGCGGGUCUUUAAGUCAGGGGUGAAAUCCUGGAGCUCAACUCCAGAACUGCCUUUGAUACUGAGGAUCUUGAGUUCGGGAGAGGUGAGUGGAACUGCGAGUGUAGAGGUGAAAUUCGUAGAUAUUCGCAAGAACACCAGUGGCGAAGGCGGACUCACUGGCCCGA
rnacentral:rRNA from 1 species